UUCCGGUUGAUCCUGCCGGAGAUCACUGCUAUUGGAGUUCGCUUAAGCCAUGCGAGUCGAGAGGGUUCGGCCCUCGGCAUACGGCUCAGUAACACGUGGAUAAUCUGCCCUGAGGUGGGGGAUAACCUCGAGAAAUUGAGAAUAAUACCCCAUAGACCAGAUCUUCUGGAAGGCUUCUGGUUCAAAGCUCCGGCGCCUCAGGAUGAGUCUGCGGCCUAUCAGGUUGUAGUGAGUGUAACGGACUCACUAGCCGACGACGGGUACGGGCAGUGGGAGCUGUCGCCCGGAGAUGGAUUCUGAGACACGAAUCCAGGCCCUACGGGGCGCAGCAGGCGCGAAAACUUCGCAAUGCGGGAAACCGCGACGAGGGAACUCCAAGUGCCUUGCAAUUUGUAAGGCUGUUUCCAUGUCUAAAUUGCAUGGAGAGUAAGGGCUGGGUAAGACUGGUGCCAGCCGCCGCGGUAAUACCAGCAGCUCAAGUGGUGAUCCUUAUUAUUGGGCCUAAAGCGUCCGUAGCCGGUUUGGUAAAUCCUUGGGUAAAUCGUACCGCUUAACGGUACGACUUCUGGGGAGACUGCCAAACUUGGGACUGGGAGAGGUCGGAGGUACUCCGGGGGUAGGGGUGAAAUCCUGUAAUCCUUGGGGGACCACCAGUGGCGAAGGCGUCCGACUAGAACGGAUCCGACGGUGAGGGACGAAGCCCUGGGGCACAAACCGGAUUAGAUACCCGGGUAGUCCAGGGUGUAAACGCUGCGAGCUUGGUGUUGGAGGUCCUACGAGGGCGUCCAGUGCCGGAGAGAAGUUGUUAAGCUCGCCGCCUGGGGAGUACGAUCGCAAGAUUGAAACUUAAAGGAAUUGGCGGGGGAGCACCGCAACGGGUGGAGCGUGCGGUUCAAUUGGAUUCAACGCCGGA
rnacentral:rRNA from 1 species